rnacentral:lncRNA from 1 species
AUAAAGGAAACUGCUCAAUACAAAUACGGCAUUCCAACACAGAGCUUGAAGAAAGACGGACCUUGAGUGAUCACAUUGGCUAUACGGAACGUGGAUUAAUUCCUCACCAGCAUGGCAUCAUUGGAACACGACACAAGGCAAGACGAGCCGACGACUAUUCAAAUUGAUAUUACAAACAUUUUUCAGGAGCUAGACUUUUUGAAGAAAAAAGUAUUAAAGUUAGAAAGGCAACUUACGGAGACCCGUGAUUUAUGCAAGGGAAACCAGCGUAAUGUACGACGCCAUCCUGCACAUGCCGUAGUGCAACCAUUACCUGAACUAUAAUUUCAGACUUUCAGCUGUUUACUACUACAAGACUGACAAACAAAAAAUAGAACUGUAGUUUGAAAGAAGCGGAGUUAUAUCAGUAUAUUAUAUAUACG